GCUCUGAGCAGGCCGACAGUCAUAGACGAGUAGACCUUAGGCGAGGGAAGGCAUGUACUUUCCCUAAGAAGCGGGAGGAGAGAAAUAAAUAGAGGGCAGUGGGAUGAGAAGAACCUCGCGGGAUGGGAAGCCGCGGAGGGAAGGGCCGUCUUUGGUUACCUGGAGAGCGGGAGCAGCUGCGGAUCCCUUAUGAAGUGCCCGGAUGAAGCUCCAGCGCUCACGCGCUUUCCGCAUUGAGUGCAGCGCCAUCUUGAGAAGGGCGGAGCCGUCUUGUUUGGAAUGACGUCUGUUCAGAGAGCCAAUCCCAGUCUCGCGACUCCUGCUUGCUGGGCGCGGCUUGGGCCUCCAGGCUGCGCAGCGCAGCCGCUAUCGGGCGGACUGCAGUUCUUGCCGAGCAGCUACUGAAAAUUACCAAGGAGAGGUAGGAGAUAAGAGAUGCCUAUAAAGGAGCUGAAAUCUACCAGGUCGCAAUGAUUUGUAUGACAGCUGCUAGCCCAAGAGAGAGUUCCAGAAGAGGGCUACCUAACAGGUGCUGUGGCAUUUAGAAGAGGAAUGGAGCCAUUGUCAACGCACAGCUUGCAGGGGAGCAGGAGAGUCAGUCUAAGAAGGAAAUGUGAUGAUGGAAACAGAGGUUGGAAGAUGGAAGAGGACCCAGAGUCAAGGAAUGCAGGUAGAAAAGAAAAGCCUGGAUUCUCCCCUAAAGCCUCCAGAUGGAACACAGCCCUGCCUCCACCUUGAUUUCAGGACUUCUUACCCCAAGAAUCAUUCAGCUAAUACAGCUCCCGAAAGCCUGCCCUUCAUCUAAGUCCACAUGCGACAUUGAAACACUCAAAGGCAGCCUGGCAGCAGCAAGAAGAAAAACAUUCAAACCAAGUUAGAUUUCCUGGCAUCAUGUUGUUUGUUCUUAACCUGAAGAUACAUUUGGGGACCCCUAGUCUGGUGACACUGAAUUAGAGUCAGUCAAACACUUUCUUGAUGACCAUGGAAUACUGUGAGCUACAAGAGACUCUCCCAUCCUCAUCUAUGGUUACAGUAUUCAGCUUCUGAUGGGGUUGCUUCUGAAAAGACCCCGGUGAGGUGUUUUUCAGCCCUAGCUAUACAUUGGAAUCAACUGGCAAACUUUGAAAAAAUCACAAAGCCUAUGCCACAACCCAGAGGUUCUGAGGUGCAGCCAGAGUAUAGAACCUGUAAUCUAGGUAAUGGCUCUCACUGGAAAACAGCUGUGGCACUGGUAUAGGAGCAAUGAGGGGCUCACGCAGAACUCCCUGUGUGGGCUCACCUGGCCUUCCAAAGGCCCAGCCUGACCACUUGGGACCAAAGUGACCCUUACUAUUAAAGGCUUCUAACAUUCACAGAAAGAAAGUACGUCAAGGGUGUGUGAAAUCAUGACAGAAGCUCCUCCUCCUAGGAACUAUCACAGGAAAUUACCCUUUAUACCUAAGAAUAAAGACCGAAUAGAGAGAAGCCAGCUCUAUCCACAACCAACAGAUGGCGCUAUUGUCCAAUGCCCUGCCAUUUAGGUCUCUGCCAACCACUUACUCCUUAAUACUUGGUAAUUUGCUGCAUUUGUGCAUGAUUUUGAAAUGUUCUAGAAACAUUUUUGACUCCACAUAUCUGAGAAGUGCAAAAGUAGCAAUAAUAUUAAAAGUGUUACUUAAAAAAGGAGCAUAAUUAUGACAAAAUGAAAGUAGAACCAUUUUUAAAAUCAGAAGGCAGUGAGAAAAUAAAAUGUAAGUUUGUACAUGCAUGUGGAAUUAAUUUUUAGACAGUAGGAACAAUUCCAAAGGGCAGAGUUGAUCAUGAAUCCUGAGAAAAGUGUUGUGCCUCUGCAACUGACAAUAAAGAGCAAGAGAUACGGAAAUG
rnacentral:lncRNA from 1 species